CAAGGACCCGGUGAAAGCCCGGGUGGCUCUUCCGGCCGCUGAUCCGCCGGACAAUC
rfam:Paracoccus sp. SM22M-07 scaffold06, whole genome shotgun sequence.